GGUUCCGUGGUGAAGUUCAUGUUGGGUUGCAAACUCAUCGAUGUGCAGGGAAUGCACCGGGACCU
rnacentral:tRNA from 1 species